AUGAAUGGAUGGCUGUGUCAUGAGCACCAUCUUCUUGGACUAUUGCAAAAGCUGCUGUUCCUCUGGUUUUCCACCUUCAGGGUUUCCAGCCUCCCAACAAGAUUGAAAUCACCCUGCAAUGACCUCUACGUGCUCCAGUGAAAGGAAGAGUUGCACAUCUCUCUUUUAAAUUAAAAGCUAGAAAUAAUUAAAUUUGGUGAAGGAGGAAGGUCAAAAGCCACGAUAGGCUGAAAGCUAGACCUCUGUGCCAAAGAGUUAGCCAAGUUGUGAAUGAAAAGGAAAAGUUCUUGAAGGAAAUUAAGAGUGCUGCUUCAGUGAACAACACAUAGAAGAUAAAAACAACAACAACAACAACAACAACAACAACAACAACAAACAAUACAGCCUUAAUGCUGAUAUGGAGAAAGUUCUAGUCUGUCUGGAUAGAAGAUCAAACCAGCCACAACAUUCCCCUAAGCCAAAGCCAAGUCCAGAGCAAUGUCCUAACUCUUAAGUUCUACAAAGACUGAGAUUGGUGAGGAAGCUGCAGAAGAGAAGUUGGAAGGAGUGCUUGCUUCUUGCUGUACCUGCUGCAGUUGCUUUCAGUUGGAGGAAAUUUAUGCCACUUGUGUUACAGAAAAUCUGCAAAACCUGCUGGUGACCAGUGCCUCUGGAGAGCUUGAAGACUGCAGAGAUGUUUACUAUGGGCUCUUGGGACAAUGGGGAAAAUUAUGUUUCAUUGUGAUCUAUUAGAGAUUUUGGAAAUUUGGACUCUGAUAGAGGGUUUGAAGGAGAUUGUCAAUUAUUGUGUGACAUUAGACACUAUGAUGAUAUAAUGGAUUGACAGUUUUUUAACCAGGAAAGAAUUGUAGCUGCUUCAUCAACAGAAUGUGUAUCAGUUUCCCUUCACUGUCUGAAUAACCAGACUCAGUUAACCAGCUAUGAACUACAGCUUAUUACCACACAGGCCCAGGAAGUCAUUCAUGUAGCAGUGCACCAUGUACAGGUGUUGUGUGCAACAACCCAGAAAUCAUUAAUAUUGGAGAUGAUGGUUGAAUAAAUCUCUUCAAAGCUUAUCACAAGGAAGCUGUAAGAACUGUAAACAAUGCAGGUGGUAGUAUACUCCAUAGUGUAAUCUUUCUUCAAACUCCUGAGAUUCUUACUGUAAAUUCAACUGGGCAGUUAAAAAUGUGGGAUUUCACACAACAAGGAAAUGAACCUUUUCAGAUAUUGUCACUAACCGGUGACCGAAUCCCCCCCCACGGUGUUGCUAGAAAUCUCAUUAAACAGCAUGUUGGAGCUACUAGUGCCAGGAUGGAAUGUUGAUUAUUUGGAAUGUUAGACAAGGUACUAUGCCUGUAUUUCCGCCAAAGCCUUACGAAGCUAAAAUGAACGCUAAAAUUACUUUCAUCCAUCCAACCCAGAUCCUCCAUUUAUUGUUCUGAAGAUGAAUUCCUGUGGCACUGGGAUGUGCCACAGAUGUGCCAUAACUCUUUCGCCGAGGAGGAAGAGCUAGUACUUUUUUGUCUCAGAGCAUUAGUAACCAAGCUAAUAUUCACCAGUCUCUCAAAGUUCUUGGCUCAGCACUGAUCCUACAAAAGACCAAAUUGAAAUCACAAGCUUACUUCUCAAUAGGAAGUAAUAUGGAGGGAAGACCCUAUUCAUCUGGAUAGAAGACCAAACCAUUUGGAUGUUUUUGGUUCUUGUCUUGUUUGUAGAACUGAUACAAAAGCAAUUUAUGUUACUGGACAACUUUUUUCAUGAAACUACUGUAAUUAUAAGAUUUUAGAUAAAUUUUAGAUUGGUCUUUUGAAUUCCACCUUUGGUGCAAACUUUUACUAUCAGAAUAUGUGAAAUUUGCUGGGAAACAUCGGUAGAUUACUGUUAGUGUCAGUUUCCAGCUUUGGCUUUAGUUAGUUGGAUUUUCCCACAACAGUUGCUUAUCUUUAGCCAUUUUCACUUUUUGAGGUAGUUUGGCAUUUUCUUAUUAAUUUACAAUAUCUUUUGAUAUAUGAAGCAUUUUUUGCCUUCGGUUAUAUGAUACAAGUGUUUUUCAAUUUAUUUUUGGCUUUACUUACGGUGCUUUUCAUAGAAGUUUGCAUUUUGUGGUAAAAUCAACCAGUUUCUUUCUUUACAAUUCCUGUCCCUGGCAUCAUACUGUUCGUAUCCUAGGUUUAUAUAAGUGUUAAACAGCAAUUUCUUCUAUUUUGUGGUUUUGUUUUUUACAUAUAAUGAUAUAUGAAAUUUAAUUAUUCAGUACAUCUCAAGCUUUUUUUCCCUUUAAAAUGAAAGAAAAGUUGUAAGCUAGCAGAAGCUGGUUCAUGAGCUUGAAGGAAAGAAGCCAUCUUCAUAAUACAAAAGUAUAAGGUUUGAAACAGCAAGUGCUAAUCUAGAAGUUGGAGCAAGUUAUCCAAAAGAUCUAGCUAAGAUAAUUGAUGAAGCUGACUCCAUGAAACAACAGAUUUUCUUUCUUUCUUUUUUUUUUUUUUGAGACGGAGUUUUGCUCUUGUUACCCAGGCUGGAGUGCAAUGGCGCAAUCUCAGCUCACCGCAACCUCCGCCUCCUGGGUUCAGGCAGUUCUCCAGCCUCAGCCUCCAGAGUAGCUGGGGUUACAGGCACGCACCACCAUGCCCAGCUAAGUUUCUGUAUUUUUAGUAGAGAUGGGGUUUCACCAUGUUGACCAGGAUGGUCUUGAUCUAUUGACCUCGUGAUCCACCCGCCUCGGCCUCCCAAAGUGCUGGGAUUACAGGCUUGAGCCACCG
ensembl:lncRNA